rnacentral:snRNA from 1 species
AUCGCUUUCUCGGCCUUUUGGCUAAGAUCAAGUGUAGUAUCUGUUCUUAUCAGUUUAUAUCUGUGACUACGUCCUACCCGGGGACCAUAUUUAAUUGAUUUUUUGGAACAGGGAGAUGGAAUAGGGGCUUGCUCCGUCCACUCCACGCAUCGACCUGGUAUUGCAGUAUCUCCAGGAACGGUGCACCCCCC